CAGAAUAUCAGUAUGAGGAGGUGAUGGGCAGCAGAAUAUCAGUAUGAGGAGGUGAUGGGCAGCAGAGGUCCGAGGAGGUGAUGGGCCGCAGAGGUCCGAGGAGGUGAUUGGCAGCAGAGGUCCGAGGAGGUGAUGCGCAGCAGAGGUCCGAGGAGGUGAAGGGCCGCAGAGGUCCGAGGAGGUGAUGGGCAGCAGAGGUCCGAGGAGGUGAAGGGCCGCAGAGGUCCGAGGAGGUGAUGUGCCGCAGAGGUCCGAGGAGGUGAUGGACAGCAGAGGUCCGAGGAGGUGAUGGGCAGCAGAGGUCCGAGGAGGUGAUACGCAGCAGAGGUCCGAGGAGUUGAUGGACAGCAGAGGUCAGAGGAGGUGAUGGGCAGCAGAGGUAUGAGGAGGUGAUUGGCAGCAGAGGUCCGAGGAGGUGAUGGGCAGCAGAGGUCCGAGGAGGUGAUGCGCAGCAGAGGUCCGAGGAGGUGAUGCGCAGCAGAGGUCCGAGGAGGUGAUGGGCAGCAGAGGUAUGAGGAGGUGAUGGGCAGGAGAGGCCUGAGGAGGUGAUGGACAGCAGAGGUCCGAGGAGGUGAUGGGCAGCAAAGGUCCGAGGAGGUGAUGGGCAGCAGAGGUAUGAGGAGUUGAUGGGCAGGAGAGGCCUGAGGAGGUGAUGGGCAGGAUAACAGCUGUGUUCAGAAUGCAGGUGAUCCAGAGAUGGUAACAAAUGAAGCCAUGACCUUUGAAGACAGAUGGGAGUUUGGGGUGCGAAGAACACAGUCAGAACACAACCGGCUCUCAGUAAAUCUUGAAUAGAAAACAUGGAGAGAAGGAAAGAUAUAGAGAAGUC
ensembl:lncRNA